GACGAACGCUGACGGCGUGCUUAACACAUGCAAGUCGAAGGGAGUGGCGAAUGGGUGAGUAACACGUGAGUAACCUGCCCUUUUCUUUGGGAUAAGCCCGGGAACCUGGGUCUAAUACUGGAUGGCUUGGGUUGGGCUGGCGGCUUAUGGGCGUGUUGGUGGGGCGAUGGCUUACCAAGGCUUUGACGGGUGGCCGGCCUGAGAGGGUGGUCGGUCACACUGGGACUGUGAUACGGCCCAGAGUCCUACGGGGGGCAGCAGUGGGGGAUAUUGCACAAUGGACGAAAGUCGGAUGCAGCGACGUCGUGUGGGGGAUGAAGGCCUUCGGGUUGUAAACUCCUUUCGCCAGCGGAAUGGUAGUGGGUAAAGAAGCGCCGGCUAACUACGUGCCAGCAGCCGCGGUAAUUC
rnacentral:rRNA from 1 species